GGUGGCGAAGGCGGCCCCCUGGACAAAGACUGACGCUCAGGUGCGAAAGCGUGGGGAGCAAACAGGAUUAGAUACCCUGGUAGUCCACGCCGUAAACGAUGUCUACUUGGAGGUUGUGCCCUUGAGGUGUGGCUUCCGGAGCUAACGCGUUAAGUAGACCGCCUGGGGAGUACGGCCGCAAGGUUAAAACUCAAAUGAAUUGACGGGGGCCCGCACAAGCGGUGGAGCAUGUGGUUUAAUUCGAUGCAACGCGAA
rnacentral:rRNA from 1 species